rnacentral:rRNA from 1 species
CCUACGGGAGGCAGCAGUAAGGAAUAUUGGUCAAUGGACGAAAGUCUGAACCAGCCAUGCCGCGUGAAGGAUUAAGGCCCUCUGGGUUGUAAACUUCUUUUAUCUGGGACGAAAAAAGGGUAUUCUUACUCACUUGACGGUACCAGAGGAAUAAGCACCGGCUAACUCCGUGCCAGCAGCCGCGGUAAUACGGAGGGUGCAAGCGUUAUCCGGAUUUACUGGGUUUAAAGGGUGCGUAGGUGGGUCUGUAAGUCAGUGGUGAAAUCUCCGAGCUUAACUCGGAAACUGCCAUUGAUACUAUAGGUCUUGAAUUAUCUGGAGGUAAGCGGAAUAUGUCAUGUAGCGGUGAAAUGCUUAGAUAUGACAUAGAACACCAAUUGCGAAGGCAGCUUACUACGGAUAUAUUGACACUGAGGCACGAAAGCGUGGGGAUCAAACAGGAUUAGAUACCCUGGUAGUCCACGCCCUAAACGAUGGAUACUCGACANACAGCGAUACACUGUUGGUUGUCUGAGNGAAGACAUUAAGUUAAUACCACCCUACGGAAGGUAACGAANCGCGAAGAAGUUAGUAAACUAACAAAUAAGUAAGUUAGUACGGCGUGAGACGUAGACCGAACGGACGACCGACCGAGGGGAAGGGUUAGGGAG